CUUUGUUUCUUGCGUCAGCGCCCAUAGCUGUGUUUGUGUUCACUGCUGCUUUGCCGUUGCUGGGGCAGGUCUGGGUGGCUCUGCUGCAGCUUAUGUCCUCUUGUGACUUGCAGUUACUGGAAGAUCUGUGUGGAGCGUGGCAGGACACUCAAGAAUCCAGGAACUGGUAUUGACACUUUGGAAAUUUUUGAACCUAAAGGAAGAAACUGAGACACAAAAUAUGAUUUUGAAGAGUUUACCUGAGCCAGAACACAGUGUAUCACU